rnacentral:lncRNA from 1 species
GGCUUCUUAUUACACCGCAUGAUCUCUUCCCUGGAACUAUACAAACCCGGCCUGCAUAUGAAACCGAGGGAAUUGCGGUUGCAAUGGAAACGCUGAUUCUCCGCAGUCGACAAUUUGCUUGAAUCUAUACCUGAAUAAGUCUUCACAAUAUGGAACAGCUUGCGGGCGAAAGCAGUCACAAAUAACACGACGAAAGGAGAAUAACCGACGGUACUUCAAUAAUCGCUGCAAAAUCUUCCUUGUCAUUCCAAGGGCUUUCAGAACGCAAAAGAAUUAAGGGCAAAUAUCCCAUGAUGACUUUGACGUGGAAAACAUUUCAUGGAAUUUGUGCUUGCAAUAAACGUCUUCAAGUUGCGAAACAUGGCGAAAGAAAAAUUAAUUAAAGGCAAAAUUAAUUAAAAUUAUCUUUUUCUAAAAAAUUUCCUCGUUUUGAUAUUUAAUUUUAAUUUUGGGUUAAUGACCUUUCAGUAUUUGAAAUACCCAUUUGCGACGAAAGGUGGGCGUUGUAAGAACAAAAAUAUCUUCCGGCCAGACGACAUUUUGCUGUAAAUCACCCCACAGGGCAUCAGUCAAAGUCUUGUGUUUUGCGACACGAACCAACCCAAAUUAUUUGCGAGUUAUUAGUUGGAAACCAUUCGCUAAUUUUAGCAACCCUUCGUUUACCAGCGUUGACGUGCUCAUUUAUAUCUCACCCGUGUUUAGUGGGAGUAAAGGAACUGCUCCACAGUUGAAGGUUCCACGCCAUAGAUCAGGAUCUGGAGAAAACCAUUCCUUCGACAAUUCAGCCGCCAACACGCCGGACUACGAGCUACAAGGAUUAGCUUUGUGCGCACCAAAUUGUGUGGUCCUUCACGACAAAUGCACCAUCGACCCAUAUGCUCCAAUGUUGGCGUUUUGGGGUUAUUGCCUUCGCUAGCCGGCCGGACAGACAGUUGGUAAGUCAAGUCGUCCAAACUUCCUUUUGAUGUAAAUUAUAAACGGCAGUUAUGCCAGACAGCCAUUUCGCUGAGGUCGGUGGUUAGUAUAGAACCGUAAAUGGCCAUCACCGCCAAACAUGUUGCAUUGCGUCAUCGUUUGACAUCUGUCGACAUCUUCCGUCGCACAUGUUAUUUGAGACUAACUUUCAUUCCGAAUUCGGUUGGCAUCAAUUUCCACGAGCAAUUAAAACCGGGUUGCUCUUUUCCGACGGAAGGUGGUUUUUGCGGAAUACUUUCGCCACAAGAAAAAAUAUCUUUUUUAUUUUAUUCUAUUUUUUUUAUGAAAUGGUUUUGGGUUCUUCAUCGGCGUACUCUAAGACCCAAUUGGUACGGCACUUACCGUCACCAACUUCUGUGGAAUUUUCUCCGCCAUGGUGACGUCUUAGAAGUUUUUAUCAAAUGUAAUAUUGGCCGCGGGAAAACAAUUAAUUCACUAGCGGGAUAAGAGAUUGAUGGUGAUGGUUCAUCCCGUUAACUUCAGCCGGAUGUAACUCUUAUUCGGUUAUUCUGGUGUAGUCUAGCGCUUCCUUUGAGCUUGCGGGGUUUAAAUUUUUCUUGUUCCGUUUCCUUCUUCAUACCAAG